UAAUUCUAGAGCUAAUACAUGCUAAACAUCCCGACUCCGGAAGGGAUGUAUUUAUUAGAUUCAAAGCCAAUGCCCCCCGGGCUCACUGGUGAUUCAUGAUAACUGCUCGAAUCGCACGGCCUUGCGCCGGCGAUGGCUCAUUCAAAUUUCUUCCCUAUCAACUUUCGAUGUUUGGGUAGUGGCCAAACAUGGUUGCAACGGGUAACGGAGGGUUAGGGCUCGACCCCGGAGAAGGAGCCUGAGAAACGGCUACUACAUCCAAGGAAGGCAGCAGGCGCGCAAAUUACCCAAUCCCGACACGGGGAGGUAGUGACAAUAAAUACUGAUACAGGGCUCUUUUGGGUCUUGUAAUUGGAAUGAGUACAAUUUAAACCCCUUAACGAGGAACAAUUGGAGGGCAAGUCUGGUGAACGUUGCUGGCGCCAGAGAGAGCCGCCCUCGGUAAACAACCGGCUAGUCGAGCGCCCGCGAGUGACGGGUGGGCGCCGGCGAGACWACCUGGAUCGGGGGAGGCUAAGGGCCGCGAGAGGCCUAUGCUGAUCCCGAGCGGAGCCCCCGGGCYCGUGUAGAGCGCGCAAAGGUGUCGGUCCCCUMGGGGGCUUGAGGUACGURCCAACCCCCCGCGAAAGCGGGGCCYCGCGGAACAGCGCCCGUCGCGYGAAGCCGCCGGGGGCUGUCACAGCGACAGCGCAAGCUCCGCAGCGGCAGAGUUCUAGGCGUCUAGACCUGUUGCGCGGAGAGAAUAGGCCAGCAGCCGCGGUAAUUCCAGCUCCAAUAKCGUAUAUUAAAGUUGUUGUGSUUAAAAAGCUUGUAGUUGAWCCUUGGKCCUGGSUGGCCGGUCCGCCUCUYCSMGUGCCMUGGUCCGRCCGGGCCUUUCCCCCUGWGGAACCCCAUGCCCUUCACUGGGCGUGGCGGGGAGACAGGACUUYUACUUUGAAAAAAUUAG
rnacentral:rRNA from 1 species